AGGUUCCACCAUCGGUAGCGUGCUAAUGACAAGCAGCCUCCGCGAAGUAAUACCUAACGAUGGUCCCGCGGAGGAGAGUGGCAGAAGAAGUGUGUGAGGGGUAGUUUUUAGUACGUAAACGCCAUGGAUGGCAAAUCCUGCAUGCUCCUACUAAGAACCAGCAGUACCUUUUGAAGAUUUUCUACCUCCAGCUCGC
rfam:Glossina morsitans morsitans, isolate Yale, WGS project CCAG01000000 data, contig: ctg10014870